rnacentral:rRNA from 1 species
UACGGAGGGUGCAAGCGUUAUCCGGAUUCACUGGGUUUAAAGGGUGCGUAGGCGGGCAGGUAAGUCAGUGGUGAAAUCUCCGAGCUUAACUCGGAAACUGCCGUUGAUACUAUUUGUCUUGAAUAUUAUGGAGGUAAGCGGAAUAUGUCAUGUAGCGGUGAAAUGCUUAGAUAUGACAUAGAACACCAAUUGCGAAGGCAGCUUACUACACAAUUAUUGACGCUGAGGCACGAAAGCGUGGGGAUCAAACAGG